rnacentral:rRNA from 1 species
GGGAGGUAGUGACAAUAAAUAACAAUACGGGGUUCUUUUGGAUUUCGUAAUUGGAAUGAGUACAAUUUAAAUCUCUUAACGAGGAACAAUUGGAGGGCAAGUCUGGUGCCAGCAGCCGCGGUAAUUCCAGCUCCAAUAGCGUAUAUUAAAGUUGUUGCAGUUAAAAAGCUCGUAGUUGAAUUUCGGGGUCAGUAGAUCGGUCAUGCCACAGGUAUGUACUGGUCUCACUGAUUCCUCCUUCCUGAUGAACCGUAAUGCCAUUAAUUUGGUGUUGCGGGGAGACUGGACUGUUACUUUGAAAAAAUUAGAGUGUUUAAAGCAGGCUAACGCUUGAAUACAUUAGCAUGGAAUAACGGAAUAGGACGUUCGAUCUUAUUUUGUUGGUUUCUAAGAUUGACGUAAUGAUUAAUAGGGAUAGUUGGG